UACGUAGGUGGCAAGCGUUGUCCGGAUUUAUUGGGUUUAAAGGGUGCGUAGGCGGCUUUUUAAGUCAGUGGUGAAAGCCGAUCGCUUAACGAUCGAACUGCCAUUGAUACUGAAAGGCUUGAGUAUAGUUGAGGUAGGCGGAAUUGACAGUGUAGCGGUGAAAUGCAUAGAUAUUGUCAAGAACACCAAUUGCGAAGGCAGCUUACUAAAGUAUAACUGACGCUGAGGCACGAAAGUGUGGGGAUCAAACAGG
rnacentral:rRNA from 1 species